rnacentral:lncRNA from 1 species
AAAGCAAGUGGCAACAAAGCAAAAGCAGAUACCCGACAAAGUGGCAGACAGAAGAAAGAGAAAAAGACAAAAGCAUGAUGAUGUCACAACACAUGCAGCGGACAAUUGGCCGACAAGAUAAAAUAAUGGCCGACAAAGUUAAAAGUAAAAGUAAAAAGAAAAAGAAGAAAAAACAAAUGACUCAGCAGCAUACAAAAGAAAGUGGCGCACUCAGCAGCAGAUAAAAGGAAGUGACGCACUAACCGACAUUCUUCACAAAUGAAGGAAAGACAACUCAGCACGCACUAUCAUGGACCGCUCAACCAAAUUCAAUAAACAUUUGACAUCCGCGGCUAUAAAAAGGAACUCUCCAGACCAACGA